rnacentral:rRNA from 1 species
CCUACGGGGGGCUGCAGUGGGGAAUAUUGGACAAUGGGGGGAACCCUGAUCCAGCCAUGCCGCGUAUGUGAAGAAGGCCCUCGGGUUGUAAAGCACUUUCAGUGAGGAAGAACGCCUGGUGGUUAAUACCCAUCAGGAAAGACAUCACUCACAGAAGAAGCACCGGCUAACUCCGUGCCAGCAGCCGCGGUAAUACGGAGGGUGCGAGCGUUAAUCGGAAUUACUGGGCGUAAAGCGCGCGUAGGUGGCUUGAUAAGCCGGUUGUGAAAGCCCCGGGCUCAACCUGGGAACGGCAUCCGGAACUGUCAAGCUAGAGUGCAGGAGAGGAAGGUAGAAUUCCCGGUGUAGCGGUGAAAUGCGUAGAGAUCGGGAGGAAUACCAGUGGCGAAGGCGGCCUUCUGGACUGACACUGACACUGAGGUGCGAAAGCGUGGGUAGCAAACAGGAUUAGAUACCCCUGUAGUC